ensembl:lncRNA
UUAAUUAAUUUAUUAAUGUGCAUAUUACAUAUAUAUAUUAAUGUGCUAAUUAUGAAACAGAGUGUCAGGGUCUAAUUUAAAAUAAAUUAACAAAUGACUCAGUGUGUUUUAAAAAAUUACCACUAGUUGUCUGCUUUACGUAAAAGGACACAACAACAACAACAACAAGCUUUAAACAAAUUAUCUACAGAAUUCCUAAAUUUUGGGAGACUUUAACAAUAAUAUCUAAGGCUUUCUACAUGGAUAUAGACAAAAUUUUGUUGGGCAUUUCCAUAAAAUAUUAUCAAAUAAUAUCACUAAAGAAUCUUUUCUAUACUUCCAGAUUCUUGUAAGAUUGAUUUUUUUUAAAUCAGUAUAUUGACACAAAGAUUUACAAGAACGAGUAAGUCCUAGUAAGUAAUGUCAGUCGCAAAAAAUCCGUAAUUCCCUACCAACAUGAGUCAAAAUGUCCAUUUUAGUUCUAAGACAUGUAUACAGCGGAGCAGCUGAUAAAAAAUAAACAUUUCUGUUCAUACUUUAUAUAGAUUGCUCCUGUAUUCAGUUCUUUAAGUGAUUAUAAACAUCUUCCAUGAACAAGAUUAGAAGAUAAUGUGCUUUGAUUUUAUGGAGGGGAUGUAGUAAAAGGGAUAAUUCUUUCCCUGAGAAGUUCUAGUUUUCCUGUUUAUAGAUUUUUUUAAGAGUACGCAUUCAGCAUCUGAGGAAAACAAAGGCCACACUAAGAAGACUACAUGCUGUUUAUAUAUUUUUAGUUCAUAUAAGUGUAUACGUCAAAACAAGCAAGGCUAGCUGAUAAAGGAAGACUUGGUAGUCCACAUCGAAAGGUUUCUCCCUCUAUUUAUCAUAUAGCAUGAAAAUGCUGCAUGAAACGGUGUCUUCAUGGUCAAGGCAAUUAGUUUCUUGCACCGCUAUUAAUGUCUUAGGGUAGACAAGUUAAAGGUGAAACUGACUUUUAUUUCCAGCAAUGGCACAGAUCCACGACAACAUAUCUUUAAUUACUUUGCACUGAAAAGAUCAUAAUUUACCAUCAUCGUAAAACUAUUUUUCAGCAGUGAAGAUGAAGUUUGAACGUGGUAGUUUGUCUUUUCUGUCUUUUAAGGUCUCAUCAAAAAAGUUUCUUGCUGUUUAUCUUUAAAUAAUGCACUUGUGGAGUAGAAUCAUAUAUCACAUUCAUUCCAUUUAGAGUGAUUUAUAACCUGAGCUGAAAAUUAAAUAAAGAUGUUCUGCAUUUAACACGUACUGAUACUGCUUUUACUUUUUGAACGAACUAUUUUUUACUCCUAAUAGGCUGAAUUAAUUUCGAUUUUCCACAUUAGUGAUCUAUUAAAACAGCCAUCACGAUUGUUAUUCAGAGGGAGUUCUUUUUCUUUUUUUUUCAGAUGAGACUGUCCAUGGAAAUUUACUACAACUCAAGGAAGAAGGAUCACUAAAAUGGUAGUGCUCAAACACCAGAGGACAAGUGUAUGUCUUGACAGAAUAUCAGGAUCAUGAUUCAUUUCCAGUGUGCUGCGGGGAACUGCUUAGGAGUCAAUAACGCAGUGUGAGAAUGGAUGAACUAUGUAGCUGAAGAGAAGAUUUGGGGCACUUCAUCUCUACCUCAAGUACUGAAAUUACAAGCAAAAUCAGCACAUGUAGAAGGCCUGAAGGGCAAUGAGGAAGCUGCAGUGAAAAGAUAUGGCUCCAGAAGAGAGACUUGUAUGCAUGUCUGUUCGUGCUGAUUGCUUGUUGGUGUUCAUUUUUUAGGGGGUGAGGGUGGAGAGAGGGAAAGGAGAAUUUUUCUGAAAAAAACUGUAACCUUUAGCGUAAAACAUUGAUCUUAUGCAGUGGGGUAGCAAAUGAUGAGAGAGAUAUCCAGGUCCAAUGCUAGAAUAGGAUGAAAAGAAUUUAUGUUUCCAGGAAAUACCUGCAGUUAGAGUCAGAGGAGUAAAUACUUUUUUUUGUCACUUAUCCCUGGAGCAGUGACAUGCUGGAGCAAUGUCACUAAUGUGUUUCAGAGGAGAGUAGGAACUUUUGCCCUCAGCACUUUGUUUGUUCACCUAUGCACUCACAAUAUUUAAAUUAGAAACCUCCAAUGUUCACCCUCGAUAGAGUGUGUAAUUAUGUGCAUGUCAUCUGGUGAUUUCACUCACUGGAGUGUCUGGCAGCUGCUCCAAGAUUAAUGAUAGAAAUAAUAAAAUCACUGUGAAAAAUACUCCCCAGAAAGGCACCCAUCCCAAACUAGGACUUAUUUACUACAAAAUUUUGUAAGACUCAAUGUC